ensembl:lncRNA
CAGGACUUUCAUCCCACCACCACCACCAAUCAGCCCCUGCCUGGAUACCCACUUCCGGUUGGCCGUACUGAAGAGUCCCGCCCCCUCCCCGUGGCAGUGAUGUCAGAGGAAGCCGAAUGAAGAGUCAGGAAUUUCGUCACUGCGCAGUGAUAAUAAGGCCAUCCCCCGCCGAGGCGAGUUACGGGAGCCAUAACUCCCCUCCUAGGAGCUAUAAGCGCCCUCCUCUCCUCGGUAUCAACAGCGGGAGACCGGGGCUUCUCCCUCCUUUGGCAGAACAAGCAACAUCUGCUGUCAUCCCUUACGAUGAAUGCCCUGUGAAACUCAGUUUGAGAAACGCUGGACAACUUGGGGUUUAGAGCUCCAGCUAACCCAGAGCCCCAUCGCUUGGUGAGAUGGGCAAGAUGAGCAAGGGCUGUGCACUCUGUGUCUCCCUCCCUCCACCUCCCUGCCUGCCCCUACUCGCUCUCUGUCUAUGUCCAUCUUUUUCUGUCUCCUGCCAGCAGCAAAAUUAAAAGCCCUACCCCACUGCCACAUGCUAAAAACUUCUCAAACAAGG